rnacentral:rRNA from 1 species
GUAGUCCACGCCGUAAACGAUGAGUACUAGGUGUAGGGGGGUCCAACCUUCUGUGCCGCAGUUAACACAAUAAGUACUCCGCCUGGGAAGUACGAUCGCAAGAUUAAAACUCAAAGGAAUUGACGGGGGCCCGCACAAGCAGCGGAGCAUGUGGUUUAAUUCGAAGCAACGCGAAGAACCUUACCUGGACUUGACAUCCCCUGAAUAGUGCAGAGAUGCAUGAAGCCCUUCGGGGCAGGGAGACAGGUGGUGCAUGGUUGUCGUCAGCUCGUGUCGUGAGAUGUUAGGUUAAGUCCUGCAACGAGCGCAACCCUUAUCAUUAGUUGCUACCAUUAAGUUGAGCACUCUAGUGAGACUGCCCGGGUUAACCGGGA